CGAGAUUCAACAUGGAACGAGUGGCGGACGGGUGAGUAACACGUGGGUAACCUGCCCUUAAGUGGGGGAUAACAUUUGGAAACAGAUGCUAAUACCGCAUAGAUCCAAGAACCGCAUGGUUCUUGGCUGAAAGAUGGCGUAAGCUAUCGCUUUUGGAUGGACCCGCGGCGUAUUAGCUAGUUGGUGAGGUAAUGGCUCACCAAGGCGAUGAUACGUAGCCGAACUGAGAGGUUGAUCGGCCACAUUGGGACUGAGACACGGCCCAAACUCCUACGGGAGGCAGCAGUAGGGAAUCUUCCACAAUGGACGCAAGUCUGAUGGAGCAACGCCGCGUGAGUGAAGAAGGCUUUCGGGUCGUAAAACUCUGUUGUUGGAGAAGAAUGGUCGGCAGAGUAACUGUUGUCGGCGUGACGGUAUCCAACCAGAAAGCCACGGCUAACUACGUGCCAGCAGCCGCGGUAAUACGUAGGUGGCAAGCGUUAUCCGGAUUUAUUGGGCGUAAAGCGAGCGCAGGCGGUUUUUUAAGUCUGAUGUGAAAGCCCUCGGCUUAACCGAGGAAGCGCAUCGGAAACUGGGAAACUUGAGUGCAGAAGAGGACAGUGGAACUCCAUGUGUAGCGGUGAAAUGCGUAGAUAUAUGGAAGAACACCAGUGGCGAAGGCGGCUGUCUGGUCUGUAACUGACGC
rnacentral:rRNA from 1 species